GCGUUUUUGGUUCGACCAACAACCACCAGCAACCACCCGUGCCGACACCUGACCCGACCAGCGCCACCUCUGCUAGCCACCGCUGUCCCCGCCGUGCCCUAGUCACCGCCGGCCAGCACUCCUCCUCUCCUUUUGGCGGAGAAUUCUUUGUGGGUGACUUUUGAAUUCGUUAAAGUGGCCUAUCAGUUUGUUUACACAAGUCUCUAAGGAUCAAUAAGCAUUGUCCAUUUGCAGGUUUGAAGAUGUUGCAUCAUUGGGAUCGGGAAUAGAGAGCUUGUAUUUAGUUUUGAUUUGCUAAGUUAACUUGGGUUUGUUAAUUGGGACUUUAAACUUGUCGUACUAUUUAUAUUUCCUUAUUUUCGUUGGAUGAUUUUUGGGAUUAAACCUGUAAUCGAUUAUUUAUAAACCUAAAGUUAGUUUUAUGU